AAGGGUCUUCAGGGCAGGGUGAAAUUCCCGACCGGCGGUGACAAGAGAGCUUGGUUUUGAGAUGAAGUGCAUCUUCAGUAGAUCGAAGGAUCGAUGCAGAAAAAGAUUGCAGGUUUCUAAAAAUUCAGGCUGUUUGAAGUCCGCGAGCGAAAGCUGAUGAGGUGAGAAUCCUCGACCGACAGUAUAGUCUGGAUGGGAGAAGACAAGG
rnacentral:ncRNA from 2 species